rnacentral:rRNA from 1 species
GGAAGGAUCAUUAUUGAAAUAAACCUGAUGAGUUGCUGCUGGUUCUCUAGGGAGCAUGUGCACACUUGUCGUCUUUAUAUUUCCACCUUGUGCACCUUUUGUAGACCUGGAUAUCUCUCUGAAUGCACACAAGCAUUUGGGUUUGAGGGGUUGACUUUUUGGUCUCCCUUUAUAUUUCCAGGCCUAUGUUUCUUUCAUAUACCCCACUUGUGUUAUAGAAUGUAAUAAAUGGGCCUUUGUGCCUGUAAAGCUAUACAACUUUCAGCAACGGAUCUCUUGGCUCUCGCAUCGAUGAAGAACGCAGCGAAAUGCGAUAAGUAAUGUGAAUUGCAGAAUUCAGUGAAUCAUCGAAUCUUUGAACGCACCUUGCGCUCCUUGGUAUUCCGAGGAGCAUGCCUGUUUGAGUGUCAUUAAUAUAUCAACCUCCUCAACUUGUGUUGAGUGUUGGAUGUGGGGGUUCUUUCUUUGCUGGCUUCACGGUCAGCUCCCCUGAAAUGCAUUAGCGGAACAACCUGUUCACUGUUCAUUGGCGUGAUAACUAUCUACGCUGCUUGUUGACAGUGAAGCAAGUUCAGCUUC